UUGAGAUGGAGUUCAAUGGCAGCUUUACUUGAAUAAACGUUUCUCCAAACAGUUUCAGGCUUUGUCUUGGUUCCAGCAGUCUUUAGCAUUAAAAUGGCAGGCAAACUCAACUCUGCUAUAUCUGACUCUGCUGUCCUGACAAGCUUAAUUAGUGUCUUUGCUUUCUCCGUGAUGCUGUGCUUCACUCUUUGGUCGGGCUUAUGCUCAGCCAAGGGAUGUGGUAGAAUCCGGUGAGUUCUAACUGGUCCCCACCCUUCCUGCAGGAAAUAGGACUCGCCCACUUCACUCCAGAGGGGGGUUAGAAUGUAAUGGUUAGCUCCAUUCUACACAAUUACAGCUCUGUUGGGUUUGCUGCCACCUGCCGGUGAACCAGGCAUAUUACAUGUUAUAAACAGUUGCAAACAUUAUUAUAGAUUCACAUUAUGGAGAGGACCUGGAACAUAAUGCAUAGAUAACUUUAUGUUAGACCAUUAAGGACAGUAGAAGGGUGUUACACUUGUUGGCAUGGUCUUCUUGCAAUAACCCUAUAAGCAAUAAUCACAAUAAUCACAUUCAGUCCAUGAACAUAACAUACAAACAGUCAUAUACAGUGAAUUACACUACUAUGAGCAUUAAAGGGCACCUGUCAUCAACUUUAUGCUGCUCAUACUAACGGCUAAACAAAGAAG